AUCUCGAAGUUUCUUGCCCACAAAAGCCGAACGGUGACGCCCCAGACUCGGUUUCUUGGUUCCGUCCCAAAACGCCGAAGAAAGGCACAAUGGCCUAGAAAGGGAAGGUCGGACUUGGAACGGGGUCCGAGGCCUCGAAAGUCAACAUCUAGCUACUGGGUGGUCCGAUUCUGAGUGAUCUCGAAGUUUCUUGCCCACAAAAGCCGAACGGUGACGCCCCAGACUCGGUUUCUUGGUUCCGUCCCAAAACGCCGAAGAAAGGCACAAUGGCCUAGAAAGGGACGGUCGGACUUGGAACGGGGUCCGAGGCCUCGAAAGUCCACAUCUAGCUACUGGGUGGUCCGAUUCUUUGUGAUCUCGAAGUUUCUUGCCCACAAAAGCCGAACGGUGACGCCCCAGACUCGGUUUCUUGGUUCCGUCCCAAAACGCCGAAGAAAGGCACAAUGGCCUAGAAAGGGACGGUCGGACUUGGAACGGGGUUCGAGGCCUCGAAAGUCCACAUCUAGCUACUGGGUGGUCCGAUUCUUUGUGAUCUCGAAGUUUCUUGCCCACAAAAGCCGAACGGUGACGCCCCAGACUCGGUUUCUUGGUUCCGUCCCAAAACGCCGAAGAAAGGCACAAUGGCCUAGAAAGGGACGGUCGGACUUGGAACGGGGUCCGAGGCCUCGAAAGUCCACAUCUAGCUACUGGGUGGUUCGAUUCUGAGUGAUCUCGAAGUUUCUUGCCCACAAAAGCCGAACGGUGACGCCCCAGACUCGGUUUCUUGGUUCCGUCCCAAAACGCCGAAGAAAGGCACAAUGGCCUAGAAGAAAGGACGGUCGUACUUGGAACGGGGUCCGAGGCCUCGAAAGUCCACAUCUAGCGACUGGGUGGUUCGAUUCUGAGUGAUCUCGAAGUUUCUUGCCCACAAAAGCCGAACGGUGACGCCCCAGACUCGGUUUCUUGGUUCCGUCCCAAAACGCCGAAGAAAGGCAAAAUGGCCUAGAAAGGGACGGUCGGACUCGAAACGGGGUCCGAGGCCUCGAAAGUCCACAUCUAGCGACUGGGUGGUCCGAUUCUGAGUGAUCUCGAAGUUUCUUGCCCACAAAAGCAGAACGGUGACGCCCUAGACUCGGUUUCUUGGUUCCGUCCCAAAACGCCAAAGAAAGGCACAAUGACCAAGAAAGGGAUGGUCGGACUUGGAACGGGGUCUGAGGCCUCGAAAGUCCACAUCUAGCUACUGGGUGGUCCGAUUCUUUGUGAUCUCGAAGUUUCUUGCCCACAAAAGCCGAACGGUGACGCCCCAGACUCGGUUUCUUGGUUCCGUCCCAAACAGCCGAAGAAAGGCACAAUGGCCUAGAAAGGGACAGUCGGACUCGAAACGGGGUCCGAGGCCUCGAAAGACCACAUCUAGCUACUGGGUGGUCCGAUUUUGAGUGAUCUCGAAGUUGCUUGCCCACAAAAGCCGAACGGUGACGCCCCAGACUCGGUUUCUUGGUUUUGUCCCAAAACGCCAAAGAAAGGCACAAUGGCCUAGAAACGGACGGUCGAACUUGGAACGGGGUCUGAGGCCUCGAAAGUCCACAUCUAGCUACUGGGUGGUCCGAUUCUGAGUGACCUCGAAGUUUCUUGCCCACAAAAGCCGAACGGUGACGCCCCAGACUCGGUUUCUUGGUUCCGUCCCAAAACGCCGAAGAAAGGCACAAUGGCCUAGAAAGGGACGGUCGAACUUGGAAUGGGGUCCGAGGCCUCGAAAGUCCACAUCUAGCUACUGGGUGGUCCGAUUCUUUGUGAUCUCGAAGUUUCUUACCCACAAAAGCCUAACGGUGACGCCCCAGACUCGGUUUCUUGGUUCCGUCCCAAAACGCC
rnacentral:lncRNA from 1 species